rnacentral:rRNA from 1 species
CUAGCAUAUCAAUAAGCGGAGGAAAAGAAACCAACAGGGAUUGCCCUUAGUAACGGCGAAGUGAAGCGGCAACAGCUCAAAUUUGAAAUCUGAUCUCUUCGAGGUCCGAGUUGUAAUUUGUAGAGGGCGCUUUGGUGUUGGCUGCGGUCUAAGUUCCUUGGAACAGGACGUCAUAGAGGGUGAGAAUCCCGUCUGUGGUCGCAUGUCUUCACCGUGUAAAGCCCCUUCGACGAGUCGAGUUGUUUGGGAAUGCAGCUCUAAAUGGGAGGUAAAUUUCUUCUAAAGCUAAAUACUGGCCAGAGACCGAUAGCGCACAAGUAGAGUGAUCGAAAGAUGAAAAGCACUUUGGAAAGAGAGUCAAACAGCACGUGAAAUUGUUGAAAGGGAAGCGCUUGCAGCCAGACUUGUUUGCAGUUGCUCAUCCGGGCGCUCGCCCGGUGCACUCUUCUGUAGGCAGGCCAGCAUCAGUUUGGGCGGUUGGACAAAGGCCUCUGUCAUGUAUCUUCUCCGGAAGACCUUAUAGGGGAGGCGUAAUGCAACCAGCCUGGACUGAGGUCCGCGCAUCUGCUAGGAUGCUGGCGUAAUGGCUGUAAGCGGCCCGUCUUGAAACACGGACCAAGGAGUCUAACAUCUAUGCGAGUGUUUGGGUGUCAAGCCCGAGCGCGCAAUGAAAGUGAACGGAGGUGGGAACCUUASGGUGCACCAUCGACCGAUCCUGAUGUCUUCGGAUGGAUUUGAGUAAGAGCAUAGCUGUUGGGACCCGAAAGAUGGUGAACUAUGCUUGAAUAGGGUGAAGCCAGAGGAAACUCUGGUGGAGGCUCGCAGCGGUUCUGACGUGCAAAUCGAUCGUCAAAUUUGGGCAUAGGGGGCGAAAGACUAAUCGAACUAUCUAGUAGCUGGGUCCUGCCGAUC